UGGUGCCAGCAGCCGCGGUAAUUCCAGCUCCAAUAGCGUAUAUUAAAGUUGUUGCAGUUAAAAAGCUCGUAGUUGAAUUUCGGGGUUAGUAAGUUGGUCAUGCCAUUGGUAUGCACUGGCUUUACUGAUUCCUCCUUCUUGACGAACCGUGAUGUCAUUAAUUUGGUGUUGCGGGAAAUCAGGACUGUUACUUUGAAAAAAUUAGAGUGUUUAAAGCAGGCUAACGCUUGAAUACAUUAGCAUGGAAUAAUGAAAUAGGACGUUAAUCCUAUUUUGUUGGUUUCUAGGAUCGACGUAAUGAUUAAUAGGGAUAGUUGGGGGCAUUAGUAUUCAAUUGUCAGAGGUGAAAUUCUUGGAUUUAUUGAAGACUAACUACUGCGAAAGCAUUUGCCAAGGAUGUUUUCAUUAAUCAAGAACGAAAGUUAGGGGAUCGAAGACGAUCAGAUACCGUCGUAGUCUUAACCAUAAACUAUGCCGACUAGGGAUCGGAUGAUGUUAAUUCUUUAAUGACUCA
rnacentral:rRNA from 1 species